UCAAAGAAAUUAAAACUUCAUUGAUGUUGAUAAUCCACUUCAAUUAAAAAAGUACAUAAUACUUUUUUAUCCUAAUCCAUAAAAGGCUAUAAGUUAUGGUCCAACUUUCAAUCUAAUAUCUAUUCACUAAAAUGAAUAUAUGGACCUAAUCUAUUUCUAGAAAUGAUAUACCGAAACCUAUUAACGAUGUCAACAUUGAUGUCAUUCCUCUCAACGGGGCUUCAAGUCGCUAAAUGACCUCGGAAUCUUCUGCAAACACUUAUACCU